GACGAACGCUGGCGGCGUGCCUAAUACAUGCAAGUCGAGCGAAGCGGCGGAUGGGUAAGUAACGCGUGGGUAACCUGCCCUUAAGUCUGGGAUACCAUUUGGAAACAGAUGCUCAUACCGCAUACUAAAGGAUGGACCUGCGAUGCAUUAGCUAGUUGGUAAGGUAACGGCUUACCAAGGCGAUGAUGCAUAGCCGAGUUGAGAGACUGAUCGGCCACAUGGGGACUGAGAAACGGCCCAAACGCCUACGGGAGGCAGCAGUAGGGAAUCUUCAAAAAUGGACGAAAGUCUGAGGGAGCAACGCCGCGUGAGUGAAGAAGGUUUUCGGAUCGUAAAGCUCUGUUGUUGGUGAAGCGGUAAUCAACCAGAAAGUCACGGCUAACUACGUGCCAGCAGCCGCGGUAAUAC
rnacentral:rRNA from 1 species